CCUUUGGAGAGGGAUAGCCACUGGAAACGGUGAUUAAUACCUCGUAUGCUGAGGAGUGAAAGGUCGAAAGACCGCCAGGGGAUGGGCUUGCGUCUGAUUAGCUAGUUGGUGGGGUAAUGCCUACCAAGGCGAUGAUCAGUAGCUGGUCUGAGAGGACAAUCAGCCACACUGGGACUGAGACACGGCCCAGACUCCUACGGGAGGCAGCAGUGAGGAAUUUUCCGCAAUGGGCUAACGCCUGACGGAGCAAUGCCGCGUGGAGGAGGAAGGCCUGUGGGUCGUAAACUCCUUUUCUCAGAGAAGAAGAUCUGACGGUAUCUGAGGAAUAAGCAUCGGCUAACUCUGUGCCAGCAGCCGCGGUAAUACAGGGGAUGCAAGCGUUAUCCGGAAUUAUUGGGCGUAAAGCGUCCUGAGGUGGCUUACCCAGUCGACUGUGAAAGCUCAAGGCUCAACCUUGAAACGGCAGUCGAAACUUGUAAGCUUGAGUACGGUAGAGGCAGAGGGAAUUCCCGGAGGAGAGGUGAAAUUCGUAGAUAUCGGGAGGAAGGCCAAAGGCGAAAGCACUCUGCUGGGCCGAUUACUGACACUGACAGACGAAAGCUAGGGGAGCG
rnacentral:rRNA from 1 species